CGUUACUUCUCGUUUAAGUCCAGGCCACCAGUACAAUUCUCGCAAGUCGUGAUACAACUUAUUCCCUCCAGGAUGCAUGGCACAUAGUCCUCCAUGAGCUUCCUUCAAUAUUGUCUGCCUCAAAUCAGAGUCCUUCGGAACAUAAAUUCUUCCUCGGAAACACAAAACUCCUUCGCCAUCUAACCCAAACUCAGAAGUUU
rnacentral:lncRNA from 1 species